AUCAAGUUCGUAACUAAUUUACCCACAAAAUUAAUUUAUACGUUAAUUGACCAUUGUUUACAAAUUGAGGGGGCAAAUUGAAACUUAAAUCCUUAAAUCAUGUAGAAAGCCUCAUCUAUGUCUGCCUCUGCCAAAUCAACAACACUGAACCACGUUAAAUUUUGAUUGGAGCACUUCUAACAUACCAACAGGUAAUGGUACUAAUCAAUUGUUCGCAGGUUCUCAUUGAUUUUGUUCUGAGCUUUACAUCUACUUUUCCUGAAGAUAAUGCGGUUGAUUUGUAUGUGCUCGAACGAGCAUUGCUCUCUCCAUGCGGAGGCCGACCAUCAUGAUCAUGAGUGAUUAUUACCGGCAAUAGUUGUAUGACGUCAUUUAUACAACAAGCUAAUGAGAUGUUUGUGAUAAUGGAAUAAUUAAUAUUUGUUUAAUUUUUAUCAUUAAAUAUCUUAACGUUAUAUACAUAUUAUUUGUUUGUUGCACGAAUUACAUGGCACAACUAUUGCCUUGAAUUUAUUCCAUGAUCAUGAUCAAAAUUGGCAUCAAUAUAACUCAUCGUUAUAUGAAAAACUGAGUAAAGAAAAGAUGUUUAUUGAUUUAUUGGCAAGUAGAAGAAGCUGUUUCUUUACUUACAAGACAAACUUCAGAGACCAUCUAGUGUCUCUUUUAUUUUUCUAAACCUCUGCACAUUCAUAACAAAAAGGCUAUAUGUGCAAGCCCCUCUUAAUUACAUUUCCUUGAAUUAAAUUAAGCAAUUCUCCUUCCAGACUGAGACCUUGAUCGACCAAAAGUAGUCUCCUGCCUGUUAAAUUUGAUCCUUCUUGCUUCGUCGAUUGAGACUCCGAAUGCGUUGGCUAGCACAUCCUGAGGCAUGGCUCGGAGGGCUGAGGUGCGGCCAGCAGCAUCAGAUGUCAUGGCGUCAUCGUUGGUCUUGAAGGCCACAUAUUCAAAUCUUUCGCUCUCUGAUCUUUUCACCACCAUGAAGUUCUGCGGCACCGUCAACACCUGUCCUUCUUUUACGCUGCCGUCGAAGACGCUGUUUCCGUUUUCGUUAACUAUCUGAAUUCUGGCUUGGCCCCUGAUGGCGUAGAUAACGCUGUGUGCAUUCAUGUGCCAAUGUGGCAGUCUAAUAGCAUUCUGUCAACACUACCAUCGGUUAAUUACUGCUUGUUAAUUAGUUCUGAUGCAGGAUAUGGAAAAUUAAUUAACUUACAUUGCGGAGGACAACAUGGGAAGCGCUGAGUUGGAGGGAAUGGAGAAUACGAAGGUUAUGGCUGUUGACAGUGCUUAAGCGGCCAACUUCAGGGACAAACACAUCGGCGCGUGAAGGAUCAGCAAUGUUCUCCUUCAAUCUCAUGGUGCAGAAUGUCUCCUCGAUGCCAUUGAAAGGUACUGGUCGGCGAUCAUACUCACGCUCUUCUUGCUCCUCUCUCUCUUGCUGACUCCUGGAGGGUCUUGUCACCUCAAGGUCGCCUUCCACCCUCACGAUGUUGCCUCUGUUGUCAUUCUCGCUUUGGAGCUUUCUUGCCAAUUGCUCAUCGAUGUUGAAAGCUUCAGCUAGGAGACUGGAGUCCAACCCGCAGAACAUGUUAUUGCAAGAUCCUUGUGUUCGCUCCCUAGUGGGGCGUCUGGAAAAUUCGCUCUGUGCGCGUUCACCCUGGCGUCUGAAUCCUCGGAACUCAUCUUCUGGAUUACCGGCAAGAUAGAAGCUCUGCAACACAAUUUAUUAGCAAAUUAUUUGCCAACAUAAUUAGUUUAAUUAAUCAGUACUAUAUAACAGAGUUGUAGGUUGCUGUUUGUUACUCGGGGGUUAUUGUCGAGCUGGUUGUCUCUGUUGGCGGUGUCAUAAACGCUGACAGCAACAAGGCGUUCAUUGCCGUCAUUAUAGCACCAGUGAGAAACACCAGCAGGCAAAGCAAUGACAUCACCACGACGGAUAUUACGAAUCUUCUGGUGCUGCUCUUGUUGGCUAGUGCUGCUGCCUCUGCUGCCAGCUGAUUGCUGAGAUUCUUGGAAUGUUUCAGCACAUCCAGGAAGCAUCACUCCAAGCAUACCCCUACCUGCAUUUUAUAAACUAAUCAAUCAAGCAGAAAUUUAGAAGAAUUUUGUUUCUUUGAUUAAUUUCUCAUAAAUCAAUGAGUAUACCUUGGACAAUGUAGACAAGUUGUGGAGCAUUGUGGUAAGCAGGUAACAACAGACCCUUGGGUUCAAUGGUAUGUCUGUUUACUGCAACACCAGCGCAUUGGAACUGGUCGCGAUUGGGAUUCCAUGACUCGAUGGUUCCAGCUUCGCACUGAAUAUGGCUAUCAGGUUCAAGAGCAUUAAUCCUAUUGAGUUGGCACUGAUCAUUUCGCAUCUGAAAUGAACGGCUAGCUAGCGAUCCAUGGAAGAGAGCAAGAAAGCAGAGAGAAAGUGAGAGCACGAUCGUUGGCUUAGCCAUAGUGAUACUAAAAUUGGUUGUGAUAAAUGUGGAAGUAGAGUUUGGUAUUUAUAGCAGAGUAAGAACUGUCUGAUAUGCAUGGAUGAUUAAGCUCGAUGUCUUACACCUUCGUAUGUCAAGGUUUGGCAUGUGUCUUCCAUCUUAAACAUGAUAAAAAACGGUUAUGAAAUUUUGGCUUUUGUGACAAGUUGUGGCGCGACGAGCAGGCGACGCAAAGCAAUUUAGUUUUCUACAACGAGUUGUGGCAUCUGCUGUACUGAUGAAUGCAACGUAUGAGUGGUUUUGUUUGUAGUUUUUUUUUCUGUGGGCUGUUUUAAUAAUAGUUUCAAGGUUCAAUUGUAUGUAUUCUUUUAAAAGGUUUGAAAACUUUAGUUUCAGCAAUUUCUAUUCAGAAGAAAGCACUCAUCUCUACAGUUUUAUGAAAGUACUGCAUGUGAAUUGUAAUUUUACUUUUAGGAUAAUGUUUGUAAGAACUGAAAAUCGAAUUGUUGAUUCAAUGAUUGUUAAUUAAUUAUGUUAAUUUGAAAAA